UCAUGGUUACUAUCACUAAUUAGCAGAAAAAAUUUCUUGUAUUUACCUUUAUUCGAUUGGGUCAACUGGCUGAGUGUAGACACGGGGGCCAAAGUUAUUUUCUUCAGUUGUUUUCUUUAGCAUAAUCAGCACAUCAUCAGGGACCAUGUCCGUGCGACAAGGGGAAGGGGAGGCGGAUGUAGCCCCAAAGUCUAAGCGACCUUCAGAUUCGGCCUUCAAGCAGCAACGGCUGCCCGCCUGGCAACCCGUCCUAACGGCGAGGACGGUAUUGCCGACAUUCUUUGUGAUUGGAGUGCUCUUCAUACCGAUUGGCGUGGUGCUGCUGCACCUCUCCAAUACCGCCAACGAGCUGGUCAUUGACUACACCCGCUGCCAGUCAUCGGACCCCGCCAACUCUGGCAUGACCUGUGCGGACUACCUGCAGGCAAACACGGGCAAGCAGUGCAACUGCAACAUCAAUUUCACCCUGACCUCCGACUUUAGCGGCGACGUAUACAUGUACUAUGGUCUGACAAACUACUAUCAAAACCAUCGGCGCUAUGUGAAGUCCCGCGAUGACAUGCAGCUGCUCGGACAACUGUCCCAAACGCCCAGCACGGAUUGUGCCCCGUUUGCCUAUAACCCUGAGAAUCAGUUGCCCAUCGCGCCAUGUGGCGCCAUAGCCAACUCUUUGUUCAACGACACACUCAAACUGACGCAGGGCGGUGUGAAUAUUAAACUUUUAAACACGGGCAUUGCAUGGCCAUCCGACAAGCGGGUCAAAUUCCACAAUCCCGAGGGCAAUCUCACCAAAGCCCUCGAGGGCUUCUCCAAGCCCAUCUUCUGGCAGAAUCCACUGGACAAACUGGACGAGGAGAAUGCGGAGAAUAAUGGUUUCCAGAAUGAGGAUCUCAUUGUUUGGAUGCGCACUGCAGCGUUGCCCAGCUUCCGGAAGCUCUAUCGGCGCCUCGACCAGACUAACAACAAUUAUGCCAAAGGCCUAAUGGCCGGAGAAUACACCCUGAAUAUCGAAUACCGAUAUCCGGUGGCCUCUUUUGAUGGCACCAAGCGCAUGAUUCUAUCCACCACAUCUGUGCUGGGUGGCAAGAAUCCAUUCCUGGGCAUUGCCUACAUCGUUGUCGGCGCCAUAUGCAUAACCCUGGGCCUGGGCCUGCUCCUGAUCCAUAUGCGUUGCAGUCGAAGCGUUGACUUAGAGUAGGAGGAGCUCUUGUACAUACCCAUACCAUCCAUAACCCUUUGAAGACUCAUAUCUUGACCAUGGGAGUGCGCGAUAAGUAUUAACAGCAACAUGGAGAUGAUCAACGUUAAUCCACAUACGCAGUACUCCUAGAUGCAUCGAUGACAUCAUUUCCGGCUGCCUCACUUAGCUUUAGACCAAUCUGUAUAAGCAUAAAGUCAUUUCUAUUUAUCAAUUUAUAUUGUGUAAUCUGCGAAUUCUGUUGUUGUUCUUCUUCUCUUCUGUUUUCUACUAUCUUAUUCGGCCAUCCAUGCGCUGAAAAAUACUUUCUGUGUGGUGUGUGUGUGUGUGCAUGAAGCCAUCAUCCAAGGAGUUGGCUCUGGCCCUUUGUUAAUUGUAUUUAUUAUCUGUACAAGCUUUUGUGAUGUUUGUUAUGUCUUCUACCAAAUGAAUCCAUAUGUAUUUUGAAUGCCUCCAAUCGCAUUGGAAAGUUACUGCCAAGUACUUAAGUACUUACAGAAUAGCUUGUGCUCUGAUCUGAUCUGUAAUAAACAAAAGAAAGGAAACCCA